rnacentral:lncRNA from 1 species
GAAAUUCAACAUAUGAAACAGAAGUAAAGCAGAGCUUCUCUGGCUGAAGGAGGAGGAUUAAAGGUAUCAAGAGGAAGGGUUGAGGGCCACCUGCCAGCCCCUACUCAUUGGUCCUUAGUGGCUCAGCACUGCCUACUGCCUAGGGGAACAAAGGGCAUGGUGGGGCUCUGUACUCAUUGCUCUUCAUCCCACUGCUGUGUGCUAUUGUCUUUGUGAUCUUCAUGAUUGGAUUUUGCUUCUUCAAGGAAGAUAUAAAAGAGCCCAAGUAAUUCUGGAAACCAGCAUUUUACCCUUGACCUCCUGCUUUUCAUCCUACUGGUCCUCGCCAGAAGUCGCUGGUUGCCUGGUAUAAGAAAACAAUCAUAAUUAUCUCAUUAAUACUUGGACCUGGCCUCCCUGCUAAUCAGGUUUGUACUGCUGAGAUUUCAAAGGAGAACAGAAAUCUACUAAGAAGAAAUAAAUUGGUUCUCAGGCUAUAAAUAGUUCUAGGAAGCUGCCCAGGGACAAAAAUUUGCCUGCUGGUGAAAUAAAAGACCAUGUAAACUGUAGAUUUAUUUGGAGAGUAUAGUUCCAUGAAUUUAACUGGUCUAGACUCUGGGCCUCUGGAAGGCAGAGACCAUGCUCUCAGCCUUGCCUUUAGUACCUUGUCUGUAACAGGCUAUCAGAUAUGUUGAUUGUGUCAAAGAUAAGCAAAUUCUGAAAUGAGUAAUUUUUUUCAUUCUCUAUCCUCUCUGAAUUCACUUAGUGCCUCUCAGAAUGUGUCUGAGUGGAAAGGGAU